CGGCGGCUGCUUACACAUGCAGUCGAACGAUGAACCACUUCGGUGGGGAUUAGUGGCGAACGGGUGAGUAACACGUGGGCAAUCUGCCCUGCACUCUGGGACAAGCCCUGGAAACGGGGUCUAAUACCGGAUACUGAUUGUCUUGGGCAUCCUUGAUGAUCGAAAGCUCCGGCGGUGCAGGAUGAGCCCGCGGCCUAUCAGCUUGUUGGUGAGGUAACGGCUCACCAAGGCGACGACGGGUAGCCGGCCUGAGAGGGCGACCGGCCACACUGGGACUGAGACACGGCCCAGACUCCUACGGGAGGCAGCAGUGGGGAAUAUUGCACAAUGGGCGAAAGCCUGAUGCAGCGACGCCGCGUGAGGGAUGACGGCCUUCGGGUUGUAAACCUCUUUCAGCAGGGAAGAAGCGAAAGUGACGGUACCUGCAGAAGAAGCGCCGGCUAACUACGUGCCAGCAGCCGCGGUAAUACGUAGGGCGCAAGCGUUGUCCGGAAUUAUUGGGCGUAAAGAGCUCGUAGGCGGCUUGUCGCGUCGGUUGUGAAAGCCCGGGGCUUAACCCCGGGUCUGCAGUCGAUACGGGCAGGCUAGAGUUCGGUAGGGGAGAUCGGAAUUCCUGGUGUAGCGGUGAAAUGCGCAGAUAUCAGGAGGAACACCGGUGGCGAAGGCGGAUCUCUGGGCCGAUACUGACGCUGAGGAGCGAAGCGUGGGGAGCGAACAGGAUUAGAUACCCUUGUUAGUCACGCGGUAAAACGUGGGCACUAGGUGUGGCCACCAUCACGUGGUCGUGCGCAGCUAACGCAUUAAGUGCCCGGCUUGGGGA
rnacentral:rRNA from 1 species